CCGUUACCCUGCAGAAAGAAGCACCCGGCUAAAUAACGUGCCAGCAGCCCGCGGUAAUACGUAGGGUGCGAGCGUUAUCCGGAAAUUAUUGGGCGUAAAGAGCUCGUAGGCCGGUUUGUCGCGUCUGUCGUGAAAAGUCCCGGGGCUUAAACCCCGGAUCUGCCGGUGGGUACGGGCAGACUAGAGUGCAGUAGGGGAGACUGGAAUUCCUGGUGUAGCGGUGGAAUGCGCAGAUAUCAGGAGGAACACCGAUGGCGAAGGCAGGUCUCUGGGCUGUAACUGACGCUGAGGAGCGAAAGCAUGGGGAGCGAACAGGAUUAGAUACCCCUGGUAGUCCAUGCCGUAAACGUUGGGCACUAGGUGUGGGGACCAUUCCACGGUUUCCGCGCCGCAGCUAACGCAUUAAGUGCCCCGCCUGGGGAGUACGGCCGCAAGGCUAAAACUCAAAGGAAUUGACGGGGGCCCGCACAAGCGGCGGAGCAUGCGGAUUAAUUCGAUGCAACGCGAAGAACCUUACCAAGGCUUGACAUGUUCUCGAUCGCCGUAGAGAUACGGUUUCCCCUUUGGGGCGGGUUCACAGGUGGUGCAUGGUUGUCGUCAGCUCGUGUCGUGAGAUGUUGGGUUAAGUCCCGCAACGAGCGCAACCCUCGUUCCAUGUUGCCAGCACGUCGUGGUGGGGACUCAUGGGAGACUGCCGGGGUCAACUCGGAGGAAGGUGAGGACGACGUCAAAUCAUCAUGCCCCUUAUGUCUUGGGCUUCACGCAUGCUACAAUGGCCGGUACAAUGGGUUGCGAUACUGUGAGGUGGAGCUAAUCCCAAAAACCCGGUGCUCAGUUCGGAUUGGGGGUGUGCAACUCGACCGCCAUGAAGUACGGAGUCGUGUAUAAUCGCAGAU
rnacentral:rRNA from 1 species